rnacentral:rRNA from 1 species
GUCUGCGCCCGGUCUCGUCUGAUCUUGGAAGCUAAGC